GCGCCCGUAUUUCAAAGGACAGAAUAGACCCUUCCUAAGGGUUUGAUGGAAGUUCGACUCCUCCCGGGCGCACCA
rnacentral:tRNA from 1 species